rnacentral:rRNA from 1 species
UGCCAGCAGCCGCGGUAAUACGGAGGGGGCUAGCGUUGUUCGGAAUUACUGGGCGUAAAGCGCGCGUAGGCGGGCAUUUAAGUCGGGGGUGAAAUCCCAGGGCUCAACCCUGGAACUGCCCUCGAUACUGGGUGCCUAGAGAUUGGGAGAGGUGAGUGGAAUGACGAGUGUAGAGGUGAAAUUCGUAGAUAUCGGAAGGAACACCAGUGGCGAAGGCGACUUUCUGGCCUAUUCUUGACGCUGAGGCGCGAAAGCUAGGGGAGCGAACGGGAUUAGAUA